rnacentral:rRNA from 1 species
GAUGAACGCUGGCGGCGUGCUUAACACAUGCAAGUCGAACGGAAAGGCCCUGCUUUUGUGGGGUGCUCGAGUGGCGAACGGGUGAGUAACACGUGAGUAACCUGCCCUUGACUUUGGGAUAACUUCAGGAAACUCGGGCUAAUACCGGAUAGGAGCUACUGCUGCAUGGUGGGGGUUGGAAAGAUUCGGCGGUUGGGGAUGGACUAGCGGCUUAUCAGCUUGUUGGUGGGGUAGUGGAUUACCAAGGCUUUGACGGGUAGCCGGCCUGAGAGGGUAGACGGGCACAUGGGGACUGCGAGAGGGAGCAGACUCCUACGGGAGGCAGCAGUGGAGAGUAUUGCACAAUGGGCGGAAGCGUGAGGCAGCAACGCCGCGUGCGGGAUGACGGGCUUCGGGUGGUAAACCGCUUUCGCCUGUGACGAAGCGUGAGUGACGGUAAUGAGUAAAGAAGCACCGGCUAACUACGUG